rnacentral:rRNA from 2 species
GGACAUCAGGAGGUUAGUGCAAUGGCAUAAGCUAGCUUGACUGCGAGCGUGACGGCGCGAGCAGGUGCGAAAGCAGGUCAUAGUGAUCCGGUGGUUCUGAAUGGAAGGGCCAUCGCUCAACGGAUAAAAGGUACUCCGGGGAUAACAGGCUGAUACCGCCCAAGAGUUCAUAUCGACGGCGGUGUUUGGCACCUCGAUGUCGGCUCAUCACAUCCUGGGGCUGAAGUAGGUCCCAAGGGUAUGGCUGUUCGCCAUUUAAAGUGGUACGCGAGCUGGGUUUAGAACGUCGUGAGACAGUUCGGUCCCUAUCUGCCGUGGGCGCUGGAGAAUUGAGGGGGGCUGCUCCUAGUACGAGAGGACCGGAGUGGACGCAUCACUGGUGUUCGGGUUGUCAUGCCAAUGGCACUGCCCGGUAGCUAAAUGCGGAAGAGAUAAGUGCUGAAAGCAUCUAAGCACGAAACUUGCCCCGAGAUGAGUUCUCCCUGAGACUU